rnacentral:rRNA from 1 species
GAUGAACGCUGACAGAAUGCUUAACACAUGCAAGUCAACUGUGGCGGACGGGUGAGUAACGCGUAAAGAACUUGCCUCACAGAUAGGGACAACAUUUGGAAACGAAUGCUAAUACCUGAUACUGUGAGAGAGCUUUGCGUCCCAUUAGCUAGUUGGAGAGGUAACGGCUCACCAAGGCGAUGAUGGUUAGCCGGCCUGAGAGGGUGAUCGGCAACAAGGGGACUGAGAAAAGGUGCUUACGCCUACGGGAGGCAGAAGUGGGGAAUAUUGGACAAUGGACCAAAGUCUGAGCCAGCAAUUCUGGUUGCACGAUGAAGUUUUCGGAAUGUAAAGUGCUUUCAGUUGGGAAGCAGUACCAACAGAAGAAGUGACGGCUAAAUACGUGCCAGCAGCCGCGGUAAUUC